rnacentral:rRNA from 1 species
UGGCUCAGAUUGAACGCUGGCGGCAGGCCUAACACAUGCAAGUCGAGCGGCAGCGGGAAAGUAGCUUGCUACUUUUGCCGGCGAGCGGCGGACGGGUGAGUAAUGCCUGGGAAAUUGCCCAGUCGAGGGGGAUAACAGUUGGAAACGACUGCUAAUACCGCAUACGCCCUACGGGGGAAAGCAGGGGACCUUCGGGCCUUGCGCGAUUGGAUAUGCCCAGGUGGGAUUAGCUUGUUGGUGAGGUAAUGGCUCACCAAGGCGACGAUCCCUAGCUGGUCUGAGAGGAUGAUCAGCCACACUGGAACUGAGACACGGUCCAGACUCCUACGGGAGGCAGCAGUGGGGAAUAUUGCACAAUGGGGGAAACCCUGAUGCAGCCAUGCCGCGUGUGUGAAGAAGGCCUUCGGGUUGUAAAGCACUUUCAGCGAGGAGGAAAGGUUGGUAGCUAAUAACUGCCAACUGUGACGUUACUCGCAGAAGAAGCACCGGCUAACUCCGUGCCAGCAGCCGCGGCAAUACGGAGGGUGCAAGCGUUAAUCGGAAUUACUGGGCGUAAAGCGCACGCAGGCGGUUGGAUAAGUUAGAUGUGAAAGCCCCGGGCUCAACCUGNGAAUUGCAUUUAAAACUGUCCAGCUAGAGUCUUGU